UACGUAGGGGGCAAGCGUUGUCCGGAUUUAUUGGGCGUAAAGAGCGUGUAGGCGGCUUGGUGGGUCUGCUGUGAAAACUCGAGGCUCAACCUCGAGACGUCGAUGGAAACCAUCUGGCUAGAGUCCGGAAGAGGAGAGUGGAAUUCCUGGUGUAGCGGUGAAAUGCGCAGAUAUCAGGAAGAACACCCGUGGCGAAGGCGGCUCUCUGGUACGUGACUGACGCUGAGACGCGAAAGCGUGGGGAGCAAACAGG
rnacentral:rRNA from 1 species